rnacentral:miRNA from 1 species
UCGUUUGUCGGCACAUGGUAA